AUGUCACCAAAGAAGUGUGUUUUUGGUUGCCAGGGCAAGACAACCCUGCACAGAUUACCCAAAACAACAUUAAGGGACCAGUGGAUGGAGUUUAUUUUUACAGAGCAUCAACGGAGUUGUGCAAGUGUUUUUGUUUGUUCCCUGCAUUUCGAAGAUGCUUGUUUUACAAACAAGUCCCAGUUUGACGCCGGAUUUGCAAAGCGUUUAUUUCUUAAGGAUGAUGCAGUCCCAACGAAAAAUGGUCACGAUCGUGUGUUGGAAUCGCAGGCGACCAGGACUGAAGACCAAAAGACCCUGGAGAACAGAAGAGAGGAAGAGUGGAAAGAUAAAUAGAGAAAGAUGAACUUCUGCACCAAGAGAAUAGGAAUUUUCCCUCUCCUCUGCUUUAGCUGUCCAGAACCAUGCACCAUUAUGAGCAUCUCCUCCAAGGAUGUGAGCAGGGAGGGCUGCGGAUGCACUUCACAUAGUUUCUCCUCCAGGGGAAAAUCAUGCUUUUCAUCUGUUUGACAGCAGGCUUGACCUCAUUUUAAGGUCAGCAUAGAAAGGAGAGAGUGAGUGUUUGGAGGUCUCGGGGAAGCCCAGGAGAGUUUUGUCCCCAACUGCUUACUGGACUAAAAGCCCUGCAGAUGAAGGAAAGAACUUAAAAUGACUCAUCUCUGGCAGCUCAGCAGCACUUGACAGUUCAACAAGACUUUUGCAGGCCAGGUCUGACACCAAACAGAUUCCUAAGAGUUUUCUGGGAUUGAUCUGUCAUAAUGCAUGUACACUUGCUAAUUGAAGGUGAAACCUCCAAGAAACAGAAGAGGUGAAACUUUCAGUUUUUGUUCAAAAAGAUGUCACAAAUUUGCAGCUCGACUCUAUCAGUGCAACAAAAAUAAAAAUACAUUACACAACAUUUGGGAUGGGAAUAUCUGGGAAAUAUUUAACAAUUCCUGUCCCUUUUAUGGUUCUGGUUCCAUAGCGGUUCCAUUAACAAUAAUUUUAGUACUUUUAAGAAAUAAAUAUAGUAUUUAAUAAAACACAAUAAUAAACAUUGCCAAGUGAUGAGAUAAUUUCAAUAAAAUUGAAAUGAUCUAAUUUUAUGUAAAAGGCAUUUGCAGGCUAAAAAUUAAUAUUUGGUCUUUUGAGGUGGCAUAAUUAGCCUUCAAAGUAACUAAUCAAAGAAACGAAAAGAAAUUUACUCUUGUGUUCAGCAAAGAUGCAAUAAAUUGAUCAAAAGUGACAGUAAAGACAUGUAUAAUGUUACAAAAGAUUUCCAUUUUAAUUAAAUGCUGUUCUUUUGGACUUUUAAUUCAUCCAAGAAUCCUGGAAAAAUGCAUCACAGAUUCCUCAAAUAUUAUGUAGCACAACUGUUUUCAACAUUGAUUAGAAGAAAUGUUUCUUGAGCACCAAAUAAGCAUAUUAAAUUAAUUUCUGCAAGAUCAUGUGAUAUUGGAGACUCAAGUGAUGGCUGCUGUAAAUGUAGCUUUGCCAUCACAGGAAUAAAUUGCAUUUUAUAAUAUAUUAAAAUAGAAAUCUGUUAUUUUAAAUAGCUUUUUCAUUAUUUUUGAUCAAAUAAGUGCAGCCUUGAUGAGCAUAAGAGUCUUUUUCCAGAAACAAACUUUACUGCGCCCAAUGUUUUGAACAGUUGUCUACAAAGCACUAUACUAAGAACAAAAGGGAAAAAAAAUGGAUGGAUAGAUGGAUGAAUGAAUAAAUCAAUCAAUGGCAAUCAUGGCAGAACAUAAAAUUGAUACCAAAAAUAAUUACAUAACGCUAUGAUAUAUUUAUUGACAAGUACCCAGUCAAUUUAUGUGCUGGGAUCCCUGUUAAAUGCAUUAACAUGCAGGUAUGGGGUAGUCGGAAAACAUACUGUUUGCACAGUCUAUAAGGAGAGGAGUUAUGCUCUUCCUCCUCUUUCAAAGCUCAGAAAUGCUUAAUUAAUGUCGUCAGUGGUGUGGGCUACAGCAGAGAAAUCAGACACAAUACUUUCAUUCCUUAUUCAUGGCACCAACACAUCUAUGGCCACAGUCCCACAUAUACCUUUUAUAGCAGCACUUAAUGUAGCAGAAAAGAGAAAAAGAACGAGAAGAUUAAGCAAAAACAGCAGAGAUUAAUGAGAGUAAAAAUGUUGCAGGGAUGGGCUCUGAAUAGAUGCAGUCAUAGGUCAGAGUCUUCAGUAAUAAGACACUUACAUCCUCCCGUCAGCAUGAACCAGAGCCAAGAUACAGC
ensembl:lncRNA